AUUGAACGCUGGCGGCAGGCUUAACACAUGCAAGUCGAGCGGGGGAAGGUAGCUUGCUACCGGACCUAGCGGCGGACGGGUGAGUAAUGCUUAGGAAUCUGCCUAUUAGUGGGGGACAACAUCUCGAAAGGGAUGCUAAUACCGCAUACGUCCUACGGGAGAAAGCAGGGGAUCUUCGGACCUUGCGCUAAUAGAUGAGCCUAAGUCGGAUUAGCUAGUUGGUGGGGUAAAGGCCUACCAAGGCGAAGAUCUGUAGCGGGUCUGAGAGGAUGAUCCGACACACUGGGACGGAGACACGGUCCAGACUCCUACGGGAGGCAGCAGUGGGGAAUAUUGGACAAUGGGGGGAACCCUGAACCAGCCAUGCCGCGUGUGUGAAGAAGGCCUUAUGGUUGUAAAGCACUUUAAGCGAGGAGGAGGCUACUCUAGUUAAUACCUAGGGAUAGUGGACGUUACUCGCAGAAUAAGCACCGGCUAACUCUGUGCCAGCAGCCGCCGUAA
rnacentral:rRNA from 1 species